rnacentral:rRNA from 1 species
GACGAACGCUGGCGGCGUGCUUAACACAUGCAAGUCGAACGGCAAGGCACUGCUUUUGUGGGGUGCUCGAGUGGCGAACGGGUGAGUAACACGUGAGUAACCUGCCCUUGACUUUGGGAUAACUUCAGGAAACUGGGGCUAAUACCGGAUAGGAGCUCCUGCUGCAUGGUGGGGGUUGGAAAGUUUCGGCGGUUGGGGAUGGACUCGCGGCUUAUCAGCUUGUUGGUGGGGUAGUGGCUUACCAAGGCUUUGACGGGUAGCCGGCCUGAGAGGGUGACCGGCCACAUUGGGACUGAGAUACGGCCCAGACUCCUACGGGAGGCAGCAGUGGGGAAUAUUGCACAAUGGGCGGAAGCCUGAUACAGCAACGCCGCGUGCGGGAUGACGGCCUUCGGGUUGUAAACCGCUUUCGCCUGUGACGAAGCGUGAGUGACGGUAAUGGGUAAAGAAGCACCGGCUAACUACGUG